GUGUCAGCAGCCGCGGUAAUACCAGCACCCCGAGUGGUCGGGACGAUUAUUGGGCCUAAAGCAUCCGUAGCCGGUUCUACAAGUCUUCCGUUAAAUCCACCUGCUUAACAGAUGGGCUGCGGAGGAUACUAUAGAGCUAGGAGGCGGGAGAGGCAAGCGGUACUUAGUGGGUAGGGGUAAAAUCCGUUGAUCCAUUGAAGACCACCAGUGGCGAAGGCGGCUUGCCAGAACGCACUCGACGGUGAGGGAUGAAAGCUGGGGGAGCAAACCGGAGGAUAUACCAGGGGAUUAC
rnacentral:rRNA from 1 species